CACCAGACUCCUACGGGAGGCAGCAGUGAGGAAUAUUGGUCAAUGGCCGAGAGGCUGAACCAGCCAAGUCGCGUGAGGGAAGACGGCCCUACGGGUUGUAAACCUCUUUUGUCGGGGAGCAAAGCGAACCACGUGUGGUUCAUUGAGAGUACCCGAAGAAAAAGCAUCGGCUAACUCCGUGCCAGCAGCCGCGGUAAUACGGAGGAUGCGAGCGUUAUCCGGAUUUAUUGGGUUUAAAGGGUGCGCAGGCGGAGGUGCAAGUCAGCGGUCAAAUUGCGGGGCUCAACCCCGUACUGCCGUUGAAACUGGCAGUCUCGAGUUGGAGAGAAGUAUGCGGAAUGCGCGGUGUAGCGGUGAAAUGCAUAGAUAUCACGCAGAACUCCGAUUGCGAAGGCAGCAUACCGGCGCUCAACUGACGCUCAUGCACGAAAGCGUGGGUAUCGAACAGGAUUAGAUACCCGAGUAC
rnacentral:rRNA from 1 species